CUAUGGGAUGGCCCGCGGUGCAUUAGCUAGUUGGUAAGGUAAAGGCUUACCAAGGCGAUGAUGCAUAGCCCGAGUUGAGAGACUGAUCGGGCCACAUUGGGGACUGAGACACGGGGCCCAAACUCCUACGGGGGGAGGGGGGCAGCAGUAGGGGGAAUCUUCCACAAUGGACGCAAGUCUGAUGGAGCAACGCCGCGUGAGUGAAGAAGGUUUUCGGAUCGUAAAGCUCUGUUGUUGGUGAAGAAGGAUAGAGGUAGUAACUGGCCUUUAUUUGACGGUAAUCAACCAGAAAGUCACGGCUAACUACGUGCCAGCAGCCGCGGUAAU
rnacentral:rRNA from 1 species